UUUUUGAAAACCUUAAGGAUAGACUCAGAAAGUGUGAAGGAGAGAAACAGAAGUAGGAACUGUGUUCCCAAGGACCAUGUGAGCCACCAUGACGAACUUGGCAAGAUUCCCAUGAUGCCCUGUGAUUCUUGACCCAUGCUAGUCUCCUCAAGCCAUCCCAGAUAUAUCUCUUGCUUUUUCUUUCCUCCUCCUAGGAUGGAUGAAAAUUACAACCUUUUGCCUCAUGGAGUCAAUUUCCAAGACGCUAUCUUUCCUGAUACACAAGAAAACAGACGGAUGUUUUCCAGUCUUUUCCAGUUUGCAAACUGUUCCCAAGGGCAGCAGCUCAUGACUUUCUCCAGUGACUGGGAGAUCCAGGAAGACAGCAGGCUCCUGUGCUCCUCCGUGCAGAAGGCCCUGUUUGAGGAAGAGGACCACGUCAAGAAGCUGCAGCAGAAGGUGGCGACCCUGGAGAAGCGUAACAGGCAGCUGCGCGAGCGGGUGAAGAAGGUCAAGCGGUCCCUGCGCCAGGCCCGGAAGAGCGGGCGCCAGCUGGAGCUGCUGCACCAGAAGCUGAGCGCGAAGCUGGCGGCGGCUGCAGCGGGGGAGGCACCGCACAUCAAUGCGCUGGGGCGUGAGCCCGCGCACGCCCCCUUCCGGCACGGGUAGUAGGUGCAGCGGGCGGCUGGGCCCGCAGCAUCCCUGCAGGCUUGGGGAAAGGCGGGCUUUCAUAGGUGCACUUGUUUCAGACCUUCUAGAAGAUCUCUGUUCUGUAUAGUCUACCCGGGUAGAAUGCCAAGUCUUUACUUUCCCCUUGGUUGCUGGCCUUAGCCUCAGACUGCAUGCUUCCUCCUCCUGGCCUGGUCACAAACACGGUGCCCAGAACAGGUGUAGCAGGACCCUCAAGGACAGAGUGCUGGGCCAGGGUCUGGCCUCAGCGUCUGGGAGUGGCCCAGAAAGUGCCCUGGCUGGGAAAGAAGCUCUGUGCACAGAUAUCAGGGGGCUGAGCCCUUCUUUACGCGAGAGUCAGUGUGGGUCUCAAGUCCCUGAGUCCCGAGGACCCGACUGAAGCAGGUCCUGAAACCCUUGGUGCCCCUUGACCCCACCUUUGGAAGCAGGACAUACUCCUGGGCAUUCGCAAGAGUGUAGGACAUCCUGUCUCCCUCAGCCUCCCCCCACGGCCCAGGCAGGUUAGGCCUCAGUGAGUGCAUCACAGGUGGCGAGUUGAUUCUCCAGUGGGACAGCAGAUAAUUAAACAAGUUGAAUUACACCUGGUUACCAGUACCAGGUCCCAGGAGUUAACCAGUGAUAGCCAAUCUAGAGGGCAAUUGCUUCUGUGAGGCUGCUGCAUUUUUUCAGACUGUGUUUCCAAAUCAGAGUUUAACUCAGCAGCUGCUAAAUUUUAACUUCGUGUUGCUUCUACUGUCUGUGUUUGAGGUGAGCUGCCCCAACACGCUGUGAGCUUCUGUGCUGCAGUCGUCUCCCCACCUAUGGGAUCAGGUGACCUCACCUCAUUUCCACCCAGGUUCCCGGAGGGCUUUUUCCAGAUGUUCCAACCUCUGCUUCCUCAUGCACCCCCCUCCCUGUUCACCUAUGCCUGACAGUGUUGGCUGCACAGCCGCACAGUUGGUGUAACAGAUCCUUAAGCAAUCGUGCACUUUACCUCCUCUAGAAAGAACACUUUUCAGGCAACAGAAGUAUACAGGAGAGGAUUCGCUCUCUGUGCCGCUUAGGCAUGCUGGGCCGAGUCAGCUAUUUCUAAGACGUCAGCCUUCUCUCGGUUACAUCUGAGAAUGGCCCUCCAAACCAAGCACCUUUCCCCAUGUCGCACCUGUGUAAGCCACUGGCCCUGCAUUUGAAUCUGCUAGCCAAAGACCACUGCAGGCCCUGCAGGGUUGAUAAUGCCACUUUCUCCUUGGGAGAUGACAGGUCUCAUCCCCUGCCACUACGAAGGCCAGGCGCUUCUUGCUGUGGCAGCCAGUCUAGGGACAUGAGCCUUAUGUCACUUGGGUCUUGGUGGCAGGCUGGUGCCCCAGAGAGAGAAGUGUAUGCCCUGAACUGGGUAAGAUGGGAAGUACUAUCUGGGGGCACCUGGCUUUCGAACUUCUGCCCCUAUCUUGUUAGCUCUAUCCUUCAUGGUGUGCUGCUGUAGAAAGUGUAUCUUCUAGUUCAUUCUUCCUGGGCACAUUUUAUUAAAGUAGCUUGCUUCCAGCCAAGCAAUUGGAAGUCUAGGGGUGAUUUACAGGCUGGGCUUGGACAACUAUGCAAGCUGGAUCUCUACAGAUGCAUUAUGUUCUGCUUUUUCAAUAAACAUGAGCAACGAUUUCAACUACAAUAACAAG
ensembl:lincRNA